UCCCAUCUUCAUCAUAAUAUUGCGAGCACGUGGCCAGUAUGAUUUUUGGUUGGCCUUUCUGGUGCACAUGAAUAGUAUCACUGGUAUUCCUCUUGAUCCAUAUGCUACUUUGAGUGUUCUCAGAAUUGAAGCUUUCUGGACUGUGAACGGCACAAUUUGCUCGAACUUGUUCAACAUUGACUCCCAUAUCUUGGACACUCCACGCCUGAAUUGUACUGUGAACUUGACUCUCAAAAAGUUCAAUGGGAGAUCCUGAUGAGGCUUCAGUGCUUCUUAAAAGCAUACCUUCACGGAGCAGUCCAAGAACAUUUCUUGGGAUGAUUGAGGAAGUUCCUGCAUUGAGAAGCUUGUUGCCGAAACAAAAUUGGCUUACUAUCAGAUGAUUCAAGGUAAGACUUCCUCUUUCAUCUGUGCAGAUUACAUCUGCGGAACCAACUGCUUCACAGGCUGAAAGAUUUCUUACUAGUGCCUUUUGAGAUGCCAUCCUGUUGGUUGAGUAAGCAAUGGUUAUCAUGACAGCUAGGAGCAAACCUUCAGGGAUGGCAGUUGCAGCAAUAGCAACUGGGGUGGCUAGGAUCCCUAUCAGAUCAUUGCAGACUUCAUGGAUAUUUGUCUUCCCUGCAGUGAAGUCUGAUUUUCCAUCCUCAUUCCGCAUAUUCCCGACAAAGUAACGAACAAGCAGUACUACCAGCACCAAGGAAGCAACCAUUAAACCGACUUUAGAUAUUUGUAUCGUCAGCUCACGUAGCUUCCUUUGUAAUGGAGUUCUUUCCUCAAUAUCAUAGCUUUUUGAGCUCAGCAUCUUCCCCCAUUCUGUGUUGAUGCCGACUGCAGUCAC
rnacentral:lncRNA from 1 species